AUUGAACGCUGGCGGCAGGCCUAACACAUGCAAGUCGAGCGGAUGAAGGGAGCUUGCUCCUGGAUUCAGCGGCGGACGGGGGAGUAAUGCCUAGGAAUCUGCCUGGUAGUGGGGGAUAACGUCCGGAAACGGGCGCUAAUACCGCAUACGUCCUGAGGGAGAAAGUGGGGGAUCUUCGGACCUCACGCUAUCAGAUGAGCCUAGGUCGGAUUAGCUAGUUGGUGGGGUAAAGGCCUACCAAGGCGACGAUCCGUAACUGGUCUGAGAGGAUGAUCAGUCACACUGGAACUGAGACACGGUCCAGACUCCUACGGGAGGCAGCAGUGGGGAAUCUUGGACAAUGGGCGAAAGCCUGAUCCAGCCAUGCCGCGUGUGUGAAGAAGGUCUUCGGAUUGUAAAGCACUUUAAGUUGGGAGGAAGGGCAGUAAGUUAAUACCUUGCUGUUUUGACGUUACCAACAGAAUAAGCACCGGCUAACUUCGUG
rnacentral:rRNA from 1 species